rnacentral:ncRNA from 1 species
CAUUGUGAUGUGGAAUCUAGAGGAAGUCUAAGGCAAAGUACUGCAUUGAUGAACAAGAAGUAGCUAUAAGGACGAACGUAACUGAAUAAGUUUGCUAUGCAAACUAAAGUUUAAUGCUACUUGAUGUUGCUUUCAGUAAGGCUAACGGUGAUGGUGAUAU